UACAGAGGUCUCAAGCGUUGUUCGGAUUCAUUGGGCGUAAAGGGUGCGUAGGCGGCGCGGUAAGUCGGGUGUGAAAUCUCGGAGCUUAACUCCGAAACUGCAUUCGAUACUGCCGUGCUUUGAGGAUUGGAGAGGAGACUGGAAUUUACGGUGUAGCGGUGAAAUGCGUAGAUAUCGUAAGGAAGACCAGUGGCGAAGGCGGGUCUCUGGACAGUUCCUGACGCUGAGGCACGAAGGUCAGGGGAGCAAACGGG
rnacentral:rRNA from 1 species